rnacentral:rRNA from 1 species
GAUCAUCUCAGGACGAACGCUGGCGGCGUGCUUAACACAUGCAAGUCGAACGAGAAUCUACGGAUCGAGGAUUCGUCCAAGUGAAGUAGAGGACAGUGGCGGACGGGUGAGUAACGCGUGAGGAACCUGCCUUUCAGAGGGGGACGAACAGUUGGAAACGACUGCUAAUACCGCAUGACACAUUGGGGUCGCAUGGCCCUGAUGUCAAAGAUUUAUCGCUGAAAGAUGGCCUCG